GUGAGAGAAUAAAUUUCCUUUUCCAUUUGGCAGUCAGUGAAGAAGCCAGUAUUCCCUGCUCUGUGAGAGAGUGGACCAGAUGACCCCUCCAGCUCCCUCCAGCCCUUAAGCUUCUGUGAUCAUUCUUGAGAAUGUCCUGCAGCUUGCAGAGGUCGUAAGGGUCUUUGGCUUUCAUCUUUCUUUUUCUUUCCUCACUGGGUCUGGAGAAGCUAAUGGCAUUAUUAAGAAGAACCUGCAGCUCUGUCUCUCCCUCAAAGAGAUUGAAGAGAAGGAGCAAUUGUUAAGGCAGAAAAUGCUUGGAACUUAAUGAAUCUCAUCUCAGACAUAUUUUGGUUAUUCAGUGGAAAGACAAAGGAAGCCUUCUAUGGAAUGGAUGUGGGAAGACAUGAAUUGCAAACUACAGAAGUUUUAACAGGCAAACCUGGAGAUAACUCUGAAAAGGCUUUGGGUUACAG
rnacentral:lncRNA from 1 species